GCCCCAGCGGGUAGGGGCCGUAGGCGGCGCCGAAGCCCUGCGAGCCGUACGUCGGGGCGCAGCCGGGGUGCGCGUAGGACACCCCCAGGCCGCCGUGGUGCUGGUAGGCGGCGGGCUGGCCCGGGGGGUGGUGGGUGGCGGUGGGGGCUGAUGGGCACGCCGCGGCCCACGAGGAAGCGGGUCCUCCCCGCUGCAGCUGCCGGCGCUGACGGCGCAGGGCUGGAAAGUUGUAAUCCCGUGCUCGGGGGUGGUAGGCGCGGGCGGCGCAGGCCCCCGCCUCGCCGCCGAGGACGGGGUACUCGAGGAAGGAGCUCAUCCUCGCCGCGUCCCGCUGCUGUCACGCCGCCACCGGGUCUUCAGCGGCCAGCGGGGGCCGCGCCAACUUUCCCACAUCCUCCAUGGGGCCGGGAGGAAAAUGACACGAAGAAAGAGUUUGAUUUAUGACUUUCGGAAGAAUUGCGUUCAGCCCUUCCAGCUAUAACCCACGCAUCCCAGCUCCACAGCGUGUUGCCGAGCUGGGAAGGCAGCAGCACUCCUCGCAUGGACGGUGCCUUCCCCGGUCCCCGCUCCAGCCACUCUCUCUGCGAUGUCCCCACGCUCUCCGGAAUGUCCCCACGCCCUCGGCCCUUCGUGGAAGAGCCCCGCUCGCAUCUGUUGCUCGCCCGCCGCCCCGGACUGGGCUCGGUCCCCUCCCGAGGCCCCCACCACCGCUGACCGGGGCCGCACGCACUUUGCCGGAGAUUUUCUCCAAGCCCGGCGUUGCUGCCCCAGGGUGGGGAUCCCCGAGGAAAUCUCAGCUUGGAAGUCACACCCGUCCUUUUUCGGGAGCACCCCUUCGCCCCGCAAAGAAGGGUUUAAACCGGAAUUAUCUUCCCUCAAAAGGACCGAGCGGAGGGGUUGAUUUCUUGGACCGCUCAGCACGUGAGGACUCACCAAGCGUACCCUCUGUGAGCUCUCAUAUCUUUUAAGAUUCCUGAGUCAGCUUGCUGGCUAACCACUGCAUUCUAGAAAAAUAUGAGCCCCCCCAAAAAAAGAAAAAAAAAAAAAAGUUUUCGUGUAUGUAACAGGCUAGUUUCUGCAGGAGACACCCUCCUGAAUCUGCUUCACGUUUGGUCUGUAACAGAGAAAGUGCUCGCUUAUGCUUUUGUUACAGUUCAGAAUUCCCAAGCUUCGUAUCGGCACGGAGAUAAAAUGCUGCGUUUAUACAUUAAAAGGAAGAAAUCUCCGUCAAAGCUGUGAACGGUUUUAGUUUCCUUUUUUUUUUUUUUCCCUUGUGAGAAACCCUUACAAUAAAGAAUUUGAACG